AAAAAAAAAAAAAAUUUUCAAGGGUAAAUUAAUUUUGAAAGCUUUAUACUAAAUGUUAAAAUUUACAUCGUUUUAAUCAAAAUCAAAUCCAAUUAAAGAAAGAUAAUAUACAUUCCCAUUUUGAAACCGAGUUAGUAGAUUUUAGUGUGGCAUCAUAUUUUCAUGACAGACUAUAAAUAUCAUACAAUGAAUAUAAAAUGAAAGUCCCCGUUACUCUAUUAUUUAAUAUUUAUAUAAAUAGAACCCAAAAGCCAUGACCAGGAUUGGGUCUCCAUUGUAAGCUCUGCACUUAGCUAUUUUGAUAACACCGGUAGUUACCAUCUAUUCUGUUGUUCCUCUACUGCUCAGGUUUGAAAUCGGACAGAAAAGAAUCAACCUUAGACACUGUACUAAGAAGCCAGAGAGAAGCUGCUGCUGCACUGGAUUCCAUCAAUACACUGAGAAAUUGCAUUCAGAGAACAUACCUACUUGUAAAAGGAAAACAGAGAAAUAGGGAAAGCAGCAUCCAAGCAAUGGGAAAACACAGAUGCCUUAGCUGCAAGUAUUUGACUACUUUACAGCUAAAUGGAGACUGAAGAUGUACAAAGCCAGGCAACUGCCUGGGAUAGAACUCUCAAUAUGGUUGGCAGUCUUGCUUGAUUAAUCAAACUGUAUGGAAGUGAAUCUUCAUAAUGUAACAUUCCUCAAAAAACAAACAAAAAAAAUACAGAGGAAAUUCAUGUAAGAUUGUUAGAAAAAUAGAGCCUAAGUGAAAACGCUAAGUCAUCCUGGAUCAAGACCAACUCUCAUUUUGUAAACAGACAGAGUUGGCUAUUUUUGCAGCAACAGGUGUGAGAUUACAGCAACAGUAAUACUUCAAUAUCAUUCCCCCUCUACUCCCUCCUCCAGGAGUUAAGCAAACAGGUCACUUCUAGUGCUGCCACAGUAGCCACUGUUGUCUUCACUUCCUAGAUCCUAUUCCUAGAAAAAAAGAAAGGGAAGGGAGGGAAUCCUCCCCCCAAACUCCCACAGAAACUCUACUAUUAGCCACCUACCAACUGACAAUUAAGUGUCAUUCUCUAGCUUGAUCUUCUACUGAGCCUAUAAAACUGGUUUGACUAGCAGCAAACAAGACCUCCCGAGCACAGAAGAACAAAAUCCUAUGGCAGGAUUUAAAGUGACACUCUACAGAGAGGCAGCUGUUUUUCAGAGAACAGACGGACAUAUAGGAUCCUGCUGAGGGUUUCUGAAGAAGUUAGGACUGCCUAGGUUACCAUCAGGGGAUGGUAAGUCUUUAAGUAAAAGACAUGCAUGUAACUGUUUGUUGUUUUAAAAUCCUUUUUCUCUAAAAGUUUUGUUCUUACUGCUAAAUAAACAAUACUUUCGAUUUAAGAAAGCUUUUUUUGUCACUAUAUACCACCAGUCACAGACUUCCAAAGGGAAGAACAACAGAGACCCGCAUUGUCAGACCUGCAGGAUAAGAACAGGUUACUGAAGCCCAGAUCCUGGUCAAAAAAUGGGAGAACUGUAAAAUUCCAUUCCCAAGAUAGGUAAAGGCUCUGACACCUGAGGGGGUGCACUCAGAAAGACCAGAAAGGGGACAGGAAUGCAGCUAGCCCUGUAACAGAGCCCAACAGACUAAUUUGCUCUACAUUGACAAGUCUGAGCCUCUUUCCAAGUAUCUGUCCAACCAUACACCUGCACAUAUCAGCUGGGUGGCAUGUCCACUUCCCCAGAUCAAAGUUACUUCAUUAGUCUCCAUGUCCCUCUUACCUCUCUCUGACCCACAUUCCAUGAUGAUUUCCUUAUGCACUAAUCAGAUUAUUUCUAUAUACAGCACUUUAAAUAUUAUCUCUAUUGACUUUGAGAAGGUGCACCAGGACUUGAGCAGAUACUGCUGUUUAUGCUUCUCUUGCUGAAAUACUGGGACAGUUAGCUCCAAUGUAUGACCUACCCUACACACAGUUACACAGGGAGUUUUCUCAAUGACCACAGCCACUGUGCCUACAUUCUGUCUCUGAAUCCCACACCCAUGCAUGCCAUGCAGGGGGCCACAAUAUAGAUUCCACUACAGGGCAUUACUUUGCCUAUCCCCUUAUGUAUGGGCACAGGACUCAGGAAAUCCACAAUCCAACCCUAAUCUGGCAGCCUGGCUGCUGACAGUACAGAGAGCCUGCAUUACGGGCUGCUGCUAGCUCCUGGAAAAUCCAGGGGGAAAAGAAAAACCAUCCACCCCUGAUCUCUGUGUGCUCCACAGCUUUGGUCCAUCCCCAAGUC